rnacentral:misc_RNA from 1 species
GUGAAGAACGUAGCGAAAUGCGAUACGUAAUGUGAAUUGCAGAUUUCAGUGAAUCAUCGAAUCUUUGAACGCACAUUGCGCCCGCUAGUAUUCUGGCGGGCAUGCCUGUUCGAGCGUCAUUUCAACCAUCAAGCCCUAGGCUUGCGUUGGAGCCCUGCGGCUGCCGCAGGCUCCCAAAUCCAGUGGCGGGCUCGUCGUCGUACCGAGUGCAGUAAACAUCCUCGCUCAGGGAACGUGACGGGUUCUUGCCGUGAAACCCCCCACAUAUCAAGGUUGACCUCGGAUCAGGUAGGAAUACCCGCUGAACUUAAGCAUAUCAAUAAGCGGAGGA